rnacentral:rRNA from 1 species
GAUGAACGCUGGCGGCGUGCCUAAUACAUGCAAGUCGAACGGCCACACGAGCUUCGUCCUGCCGUCUGAUGUCAGCGGCGGACGUGAUAGAACCACGUGUGCCACCUACCUAUAAGUAUGGCAUCACAUCGCGGAAUCAUACCUCAUACCGCCUAAUAUUUAGCGUCGCGUGCAGCAAGAGUUAAAGACAUUUGUGCUGUCGCUUUCAGAUUGACCCGCUGUGUAUUAGCUAGUUGGUGGGGUAACGGCUCACCAAGGCAACGAUCCGUAGCCGACCUGAGAGGGCGACCGGCCACACUGGGACUGAGACACGGCCCAGACUCCUACGGGAGGCAGCAGUGGGGAAUUUUGCGCAAUGGACGAAAGCCUGACCCAGCCAUGCCGCGUGAGGGAAGAAGGUUUUCGGAUUGUAAACCGCUUUUGUUAGGGAAGAAAAACUCUGUGCGUAUCUCCCCGGGGCAUGACGGUACCGGAAGAGUAAGCACCGGCUAACUACGUG